rnacentral:rRNA from 1 species
UACGUAGGUGGCAAGCGUUGUCCGGAUUUACUGGGCGUAAAGAGCGCGCAGGCGGUCGUUCAAGUCGCGUGUGAAAGCCCCCGGCUCAACUGGGGAGGGUCACGCGAUACUGAUCGACUCGAAGGCAGGAGAGGGUAGUGGAAUUCCCGGUGUAGUGGUGAAAUGCGUAGAUAUCGGGAGGAACACCAGAGGCGAAGGCGGCGACCUGGACAAGUACUGACACUCAACUACGAAAGCGUGGGGAGCAAACAGG